CGCCUCCUGAUCACCCAUAGGAGGUCCAGCCUGCCCAGUGACUAAGUUAAACGGCCGCGGUACCCUAACCGUGCAAAGGUAGCGCAAUCACUUGUUCUUUAAAUGAGGACUAGUAUGAACGGCAUCACGAGGGUUAUGCUGUCUCCCUACUCUACUCAGUGAAACUGAUCUCCCCGUGAAGAAGCGGGGAUAAAAAUAUAAGACGAGAAGACCCCAUGGAGCUUUAAACUCAGUACCAACUGCCUCAAUAAUAACCUAUUACCCUUGCAGCCAUGGAUACUAGUUUUCGGUUGGGGUGACCACGGAGUAAAAUUUAACCUCCACGAUGAAAGGAGCUAAUAUCCUAACCUAUGAGCUACAGCUCUAAGUAUCAACAAAUUGACUAAUUGACCCAAUUACUUGAUCAACGAACCAAGUUACCCUGGGGAUAACAGCGCAAUCCAUUUCAAGAGCUCAUAUCGACAAAUGGGUUUACGACCUCGAUGUUGGAUCAGGGUAUCCCAGUGGCGCAGCCGCUACUAAUGGUUCGUUUGUUCAACGAUUAAAACCCU
rnacentral:rRNA from 1 species